CCUACGGGUGGCUGCAGUCAAGAACCUUCCACAAUGGACGAAAGUCUGAUGGAGCGACGCCGCGUGAUCGAUGAAGCGAUUCGUCGUGUAAAGGUCUUUUAUGAGGGAAGAAGUAUAUUGACGGUACCUCAUGAAUAAGGGGCUCCUAACUCUGUGCCAGCAGGAGCGGUAAUACAGAGGCCCCGAGCGUUAUCCGGAAUCAUUGGGCGUAAAGGGUGCGUAGGUGGUUGUAUUAGUCUUUCGUUAAAUCCAUGGGCCUAACCUGUGGUCUGCGAAGGAAACGGUAUAACUAGAGAGCGAGAGAGGUGAAUGGAACUCAUAGUGUAGGGGUGAAAUCCGUUGAUAUUAUGGGGAACACCAAAAGCGAAGGCAAUUCACUGGCUCGUUUCUGACACUGAUGCACGAAAGCGUGGGUAGCGAAUGGGAUUAGAUACCCGUGUAGUC
rnacentral:rRNA from 1 species